UCUACUUCGGUUGUGUGAACUAAAAUUGACAUGAUACAAAGAUUAGCAUAGGGCUUGCAUAAGGAUAACACAUGCUUUGGGAAAAAAAAAAUACAUAGAU
ensembl:snRNA U6 U6 spliceosomal RNA